AGAGUUUGAUCAUGGCUCAGAACGAACGCUGGCGGCAUGCCUAACACAUGCAAGUCGAACGAGACCUUCGGGUCUAGUGGCGCACGGGUGCGUAACGCGUGGGAAUCUGCCCUUGGGUUCGGGAUAACAGUUGGAAACGACUGCUAAUACCGGAUGAUGACUUCGGUCCAAAGAUUUAUCGCCCAGGGAUGAGCCCGCGUCGGAUUAGCUUGUUGGUGAGGUAAGAGCUCACCAAGGCGACGAUCCGUAGCUGGUCUGAGAGGAUGAUCAGCCACACUGGGACUGAGACACGGCCCAGACUCCUACGGGAGGCAGCAGUGGGGAAUAUUGGACAAUGGGCGAAAGCCUGAUCCAGCAAUGCCGCGUGAGUGAUGAAGGCCUUAGGGUUGUAAAGCUCUUUUACCCGGGAAGAUAAUGAC
rnacentral:rRNA from 1 species